rnacentral:rRNA from 1 species
GUCUGAACUCAGAUCACGUNAGANUUUAAAAGUCGAACAGACUUAAAUAUUAAACUUCUUCACCUAAUACUAUAUCUUAAUCCAACAUCGAGGUCACAAUCUUUUUUAUCAAUAAGAACUUUCCAAAAAAAUUAUGCUGUUAUCCCUAAAGUAACUUAAUUUAAUAAUCGUUAAUAACGGAUCAAAAAAUCAAAAAUUAAUGUAAAUUUAAUUAAAAGUUAAUUAAAUUUUAAUAUCUCCCCAAUAAAAUAUAAAUUAAUUAUUAAAAUUUUAAAUAUCUACAUAAUUAAAAUAUUAAUUAUAUAAAGAUUUAUAGGGUCUUCUCGUCUAUUAAAAAUAUUUUAGCUUUUUAACUAAAAAAUAAAAUUCUAUUAAAAAUUUAAAAGAAACAGUUAAUAUCUCGUCCAAUCAUUCAUUCCAGCCUCCAAUUAAAAGACUAAUUAUUAUGCUACCUUUGCACAGUUAAUAUACUGCGGCCAUUUAAU